rnacentral:rRNA from 1 species
AUUGAACGCUGGCGGCAGGCUUAACACAUGCAAGUCGAGCGGAGCGAGGGUGCUUGCACCUUAGCUUAGCGGCGGACGGGUGAGUAAUGCUUAGGAAUCUGCCUAUUAGUGGGGGACAACAUUCCGAAAGGGAUGCUAAUACCGCAUACGCCCUACGGGGGAAAGCAGGGGAUCUUCGGACCUUGCGCUAAUAGAUGAGCCUAAGUCGGAUUAGCUAGUUGGUGGGGUAAAGGCCUACCAAGGCGACGAUCUGUAGCGGGUCUGAGAGGAUGAUCCGCCACACUGGGACUGAGACACGGCCCAGACUCCUACGGGAGGCAGCAGUGGGGAAUAUUGGACAAUGGGGGGAACCCUGAUCCAGCCAUGCCGCGUGUGUGAAGAAGGCCUUUUGGUUGUAAAGCACUUUAAGCGGGGAGGAGGCGCUCUAGGAUAAUACCCUA